GAUUAGAGUUUGAUCCUGGCUCAGGAUUAACGCUGGCGGUGUGUAUAAUACAUGCAAGUCGAGCGCCCUGGACUUUGUUUCCAAUUAUUUGGAGAUAGGGUCCAGGGAGCGGCGGACGGGUGAGUAACACGUUGGUAACUACCUCGAAAUCAGGGAUAAGCCCUAGAAAUAGGGUCUAAUACCGGAUGGUCCCGAAAGGGUAAAGCAGCAAUGCGUUUCGAGAGGUGCCUGCGGCCUAUCAGUUAGUUGGCGAGGUAAUGGCUCACCAAGACUAUGACGGGUAGCUGGUCUGAGAGGACGAUCAGCCACAAUGGGACUGAGACACGGCCCAUACUCCUACGGGAGGCAGCAGUAAGGAAUCUUUCGCAAUGGGGGAAACCCUGACGAAGCAACACCGCGUGGAGGAUGAAGGCGUUUUCGUUGUAAACUCCUUUUUUGAGGGAAUAACCUUGAAGGUACCU
rnacentral:rRNA from 1 species